AAAUUGCUGCAUAGUUUAAAAAGUAUGGGCAAAAAUCUAUUUUCCCCAAUUAUAUUUCCUAUAAUUGGCCCGACCGCUGAAAGAAAAGAUUUAGGAGGACGUUGGAAUUGGAUAGCUCGUAGAGUUUGGAGAGACUUUACUACUGUGCCAAGAGAUUAGUUCAACACCAGCCAACACAGUACCCUGCAUCAGAGGAGAUGAGUAUUGGGAAAAUCAAGUUUAAGGCUUUUGAUUUGGGAGGACAUCAAAUAGCUUGUAGAGUGUGGAAAGACUACUACGCCAAGGUGUAGGCACACCCUAGCUUGAAUGAAGAAGAAAAAUUAAGCGUAUGUAGAAACCUGUAAUACCAUAGAGCAAAGUCACAUGAUUCAUCUUGUUAGAGCAAAGUCACUUGCCCUUUAAAGUAACAGCAUGAUUCAUCUUCUUAGAGCAAAGGCACAUGACAAGGUCAAUGACAGCUUUUGGAUCAAAUCACCAAAGAAUGAAGACUCAGGUAAUUAUCAGAGUUUCUAAACUAAAAGAGGGAGGUAUGAAUCUGCAGAAAGAGGUCGACACAAUGUUGGUGCAACUGAUUGAAUUACAAAUGUGUCAGCUAAAGCUGCAAAGACAAGUAAAGAGAUCCACAAAUUAGAAGAGAAAACUCAACUUUGUAAGGAAAACAAAUUUCUGGUUGGAAAUCUGAUUUUUCUUUGUUGAUUUUUUUUUCUUUUUUGAUAAAUAAUUUUGCUUCAUUGAAAUUGAAAUGUGCCUUAUUAUUUUUA